AGCAAGCUCAGAUGCGCGACUCCAUCGCACGCGUGUAUCCGCACUGGAAUGCAUCCAUUCCCUUAUACGGAUAUCUUCCGGGAAUGUAUGCUUUCGGACUGUGUGAAACCGACCAUUGCGCUGACGCGGAGAAAACAGCAAAGAAGGGCCUGGAGUUGAUUCCUAAGGACGGGUGGGCGACGCAUGCGUUGGCUCACGUCUAUGAGAUUCAAGGAAGGAGCCAGGAAGGCAUCUCGUUCCUGAGCAGAACUCUCGACAACUGGACGACAGCAAGCAGCGUAACUUCUGGCAUUGGGCCGUUUAUCACAUCGAGAGGUAAAUAUGUAAUCGACUGCCUUUAAAAUGAACGAGCCGCCUGUUCGCUAUAAGGAUUAGUCAACAUGUUGAGGGCGAACACACGGCAGCGCUAGAUGUGUUUUACUCUCAGAUUGCGUCGCGGGUAAGAACUAGUGGGGCCAUGUGGGAUGUCGUCG
rnacentral:misc_RNA from 1 species